rnacentral:rRNA from 1 species
UCACACCGCCGUGUUAAUCCAGCUCCUGCGUCGACGGUNAAGCUUGCUCUUCGAUCCGGCGGACGGGUGAGUUGCCUAGAUCUGCUGUUGGGGAGACAAACAGUUUCGAAAGGAACGCUAAUACCAGCAUACGUCCUACGAGAGACGANAANGCACGAGGUGACCCUAUCGGGCCUNGCGCUAUCAGACUAGACGCCUAGAGUCGAGAAUUAGCUAAGAUUGGUGAAGA